GUGAUCUUCGGUUUUCUGAGGACAGAAUUCCCAUUACAGAGGGCUUCAUGGUCACGUAUCCAUUCCUGCUCUCACUUUGUUCAGGUUGCAGCAUG